rnacentral:rRNA from 1 species
AGUGAACGCUGGCGGUAGGCCUAACACAUGCAAGUCGAACGGCAGCACAGUAAGAGCUUGCUCUUACGGGUGGCGAGUGGCGGACGGGUGAGGAAUACAUCGGAAUCUACUUUUUCGUGGGGGAUAACGUAGGGAAACUUACGCUAAUACCGCAUACGACCUACGGGUGAAAGCAGGGGAUCUUCGGACCUUGCGCGAUUGAAUGAGCCGAUGUCGGAUUAGCUAGUUGGCGGGGUAAAGGCCCACCAAGGCGACGAUCCGUAGCUGGUCUGAGAGGAUGAUCAGCCACACUGGAACUGAGACACGGUCCAGACUCCUACGGGAGGCAGCAGUGGGGAAUAUUGGACAAUGGGCGCAAGCCUGAUCCAGCCAUCCCGCGUGGGUGAAGAAGGCCUUCGGGUUGUAAAGCCCUUUUGUUGGGAAAGAAAAGCAGCAGGUUAAUACCCCGCUGUUCUGACGUUACCCAAAGAAUAAGCACCGGCUAACUUCGUG